rnacentral:rRNA from 1 species
AUUAAGACUCUCGGCAACGGAUAUCUCGGCUCUUACAUCGAUGAAGAACGUAGCGAAAUGCGAUACUUGGUGUGAAUUGCAGAAUCCCGUGAACCAUCGAGUCUUUGAACGCAAGUUGCGCCCGAGGCCUUCGGGUCGAGGGCGCGCCUGCCUGGGCGUCACGC